UCAAGGGACUUUUAAGUUUAUUGGAUUUCUAAUAAGCAAUACAUCUAUUCAAUAACACCUUAUUGAAUUUUCAGAAUAAGUUCCAUUGUUUAUAUACCACGAGUUUUAGGACAUAAAAUCCAACAGUAGUAAGCUCAAAAUAGGGCCAUUGAAGUCUUCUGGUCCGGAUUUAUGUAUAUAUAAUAACCUUAUUCACAUGUUCUGUUUGGUAGGAAGGUUAAGGAUGCACGUAUCGUGUGAAGGAACUUAAAGAGUUAGUUUAUCAAUCUGAGGCCUUCAUUUUGAUUAAAUUUGACAAAAAACCUCUCUUGCGAUGUUCACCAAGUUAUCUAUAUUUAUUCAAAUCAUGAAAAUUCUAAGUGGGUCUUGCUUGAUGACGAGAGACUGGACCAGUGCGGUACGGUGGCAUUUUGGAAGCCUCCAUUGCCAUUGCAGAGCUUGUAUAAUAGGGGUGUCGCCAGUCUUGUUAUUAGUAGUGGUUAUGGUCUACCAUCACUGGAUUUUGUUGCCAGCAUUGGAUAAAGAAUAUGUUGAAAUUUUGUACCUUUUUGGUGACUCGAAGACAUCGACAUUUUCAAUCCAUAAUCUUCUUCAGGCAGGAAGGGCCUAUGACCUUGUUGUUAGGUCAUGGGUGGGACCAUAUGCCAUGUGUAGGUCAUAGGAGACUCUAAUCCGCUUAAAAAAGGAAACCUCUAAUCUCCAAGACCAGCAACUUUCAAUGGCCAUUUACAUUGUUUCUGGAGACGAAGAUGGAGAGAAAGGUUUGCUAGCCUCUUGGUUAAUGUGGAGAGCUAGUUUACAAAACAAAAUGAUAUUCAGACUUUAAAAUGGUCCAACAACCCCUUAGAAGAUGAUGUUGUCCUUUGUAAAUGUGGAGGCCUAGUCAACAGAACAAGAUGUCGUCCAUAAGUUGCAAAAUUUUUUUUUGAGAAAGUUAUGCUUUCGAUUUGGACCAAAUCUGUGGUAGAUGGUGGAGAGAACAUAACGAAGGAGCAAUUGAAAGAUUAUUUGGAAAAUACUAUAUAAUGACAACAAGUGUGUGUGCACUUUUGUUUUGUUUUGUUUUUUGUUUUUUUUUUUUUGGGAGAGGGGGAGGGGAUAUUUACAAGUUUUAGUUUGUAUUUUAUAGUUUAAAAGUAAGUUCUCUCUCUUGUUUGGAUCAAAAUUUUAAUUUUGCUAUGUAACGCUUAUGAGUUUUGGUAAUUUGUUGAUUA